GUGUUGUAUGAAAGGAGAGAAGGUUAGCACUCCCCUUGACAAGGAUGGAAGAGGCCCUUGGGCCUAACAACACGCAUACAGUUAAGGCAUUGCCACCUACUGAAAUCAACUUACAGAUCAU